rnacentral:rRNA from 1 species
UACGAAGGGUGCAAGCGUUGUUCGGAUUUAUUGGGCGUAAAGCGUACGUAGGCGGAAGGUUAAGUCAGGUGUGAAAUCUCGGGGCUCAACCCCGAAAUUGCGCCUGAAACUGGCCAUCUAGAAUACUGGAGAGGGAGGGGGAAUUUCGCAUGUAGGGGUAAAAUCCGUAGAUAUGCGAAGGAACACCAGCGGCGAAGGCGCCUUCCUGGUCGGUUAUUGACGCUAAGGUACGAAAGCGUGGGGAGCAAACAGG